GCCUAGUUAGCUUAGUUGGUAGUGCGUCUGCCUUGUAAGCGCUAGGCCGCGGGUUCGAUUCCCGCCUGGAGCG
rnacentral:tRNA from 1 species